CUGUCUGAUCCACACGCCACGUCCUGGUAACAUUUCCAAAGGCUUCCUCUGCUCGCUAAGACCACAGGUGUACUGCAGACGCGAUAUUGCAAAGUAUGUUCAUCCGGCACACACGCGCUUCACAGAUGGAGCCGCCUUCACUCCUGCCGCAUCUCGGCACUAUUCACCGGACCCAAUGCUUUUCACCGCCGGCUGCGACACUCGAGCCUUGCGCUCACCUGCCGGUCGCGGCAGCCAACGCCACGGCACGCUUCAGCCGGCGUCUCGGCAUCUCACUACGGCUCGCAUAGCCUCGCGUCACUCACUUAACCUGGAACUCUCGAGCUUCGGCUCCCGUGCCGGUCGCGGCACCCCAGGACCACGACACCAAGCGCCUCACUCUUUCCCGCUCGACGGAUCCUUGUUCCCGUCCUCACCGUCUGUGACAUGUCGCCAACGUGUGCCAUGCCAUGCACCUGUUCAGCCAUGCACGUCAAUCAAGGUCGCCCUGCUAUCCUCUAGUGAAGUGGUGGACAUCACCUUCUUUAUCGCCGCUCCGCGUCUGAGGGGGUAGUGAUGUAGCAGCCGGUGGACAACGACGAGGAUGGACACACACCUGGAGCACUCGCCCCUCAGUUCCACCGGCGCGGUCAUGGAGAUAAGCCAGCGUCAUCGCCUCUCCGUGGUAUACCAUCACAGUCAGUCGGGACUCAUGUAGGGGAACACCACCUCCUCUACAGCACCAUCAGAAAUGUGCAAAGAAGUCUGAUGGUGUACGACGACAAACGAUACCUCUACAAUGGCGUGGACUCCUACCCGUACAGAAGAUGCGGAUAUGAUAAUGCAGUGGAUGAGUAGGUGUAGCAUCAUUUGGUCUUCUCACUGGAAGGAUGUGGUUCCUCGUUCUCUUCUCGCUCGUCUCGUGCGCACUGGCGCCGGACGCCGGCAACUGUACCGGGAGCAUCAAGCUGGAGAAGGAUAAGCACACGUACGUGCACGAAUGCCUGGGCGACAUCUUGGCCAUCAGGGAGUGGCACGUGGUACCAAUGCGGUCCGAUAUUAACCUGGACAGGAAUGCUACUGGAUCGCUGCGUACGUGCCUUCACUCGCUGGACUGGACUUGAGCGACAGCCGCGAAGAUAUCCAGUGCACGUGGAAGUGUCAACUCACGGAGGAAAAAAUUUUUCUCGGCCGCUGUCCCGGAGACUUCUACAUGAUCCAUCACUUCUGCGGAACCACGCCCAGCAUCAAAGGAAUCAACCUCUCCAAGACCGCCAUGCUUUUCCUCAAACACGUACUCAAUGAGCGUUGAAAGAAUGGAGCAAUCAACGAUCAGAAGGCUGAGUGCGGACCAAUCAACGUGAAGGGUACGGAGCUAACGGCGAUCAAUCAGAUGGCGUUGGAAUUGGCUUGCGUUGGAUUACAGCUGGAUUGUGCUGGCUUAGAACUGGAUUGUGAUGGCUUGGAACUGGAUUGUGUUGACUUCAGAGUGGUUUUGGCUUAAAAUUGGAUUAGAAUAGAAUUCCUGGAACUGGAUUAGAAAAAGGACGUCGUUGUUGGACCUAAGUCCCUACUACCUCGGUCUUGAAACUGUGAUAUCAUUCUAGAAGACCCUGGUUGCGGCCCAGUGUAAGAAAUACUGAAAUGGUUUGCCCAAAUUUAUUUGCUGAUCAGAUAACAUAGUUCACGCGCUAUUGUUGCCUUUUGUUUACAGGAAACUAGUGACAGCAUGCAAUACGUAAAUGACAGGAGGAGGAGGAAUUAUCUAUUUACCAACGUUGGAGCUGGGUGACACCUAUCAGGGGGCCUGCCGUUCCAUUUCGUGAAAGCGUUUCAAUUACUUUCACCCAUGGAUAUCGAGGAGUGCAUGGUG